UCCUUUGCCUCUGACACGGUACCUGGCAAUGUUCAGGACAGAGGCUAAUCUGUGAGCCUAGGACCAGAGUGCUGACGAGGUGCAGCAGGGCCACACUGGACCCAGGGCGUGGACAUGGAGAAACUCAUCAUUGGAACUCAUCUAAGCUUAUUUUGAUCAAAGGAAAGGCUGUAAAGGAUUAGAGGGGAAAAGUUGGACUUUCGUUCACACAUGAGUGCAAGGACAAGAUCUCCUGAGGAUCACUCUUCGUGGGGGGACUCAUGACUUCCCUAAAUACCAAGUUUCCAGUUCAGUUAGAACUUGGAAUUCCAACAGACUGAAGUAGAUGACCCAGUGACAUACUGAUAAGAUCCCUGCACACCCAUUCUAACCCAACUUUUGUGUGGUCGCAAAAUCCAAAAUGUCUCAUAGUGGAAAAUUAUCCUGGUGGAGUCAAUACAGGUCUUAACUUUGAGUGUUUAUGUUGCGAUUUCAGGUCCCACUAAACACUAUUGCACAGACCUAUUUUCUCAUUCCAUAGGAAAUGGGAAUUCAACAUGUUCAUGUUUCCUACAAUUCCUUCCAAACUCUUAGUUGGUAAUAUCCAUAAUUGUGCAUCCCAAACAAUAUCAC
rnacentral:lncRNA from 1 species